rnacentral:ncRNA from 1 species
AAAUAUGUCACGGUUCUUUUGCAGAAAAGAUUAAAAGGGAAUCAAGUGUGAAUCUUGAGCAACAGCCAUUACCGUAUUUGAUGAAUAAAAGCCAAACGCCAUUGGGAAACUGAGAAGGCGGCUUUUUAUGCAAAGCUAUAUCAUAAGUCGGGAGACCUGCCGUAAAACUUAA